rnacentral:rRNA from 1 species
UACGUAGGGACCGAGCGUUGUCCGGAAUCAUUGGGCGUAAAGAGCGUGUAGGCGGCCACUUAAGUCCUGCGUGAAAUCCUGCGGCUCAACCGCAGGCGGUCGUGGGAAACUGGGUGGCUAGAGUGCGGGAGAGGAGAGUGGAAUUCCUGGUGUAGCGGUGGAAUGCGCAGAUAUCAGGAAGAACACCAGUGGCGAAGGCGACUUACUGGACUGUAACUGACGCUGAGGCAUGAAAGCGUGGGGAGCAAACAGG